UCUCCUACGGGGGGCAGCAGUGGGGAAUAUUGGACAAUGGGGGAAACCCUGAUCCAGCGACGCCGCGUGAGUGAAGAAGUAUUUCGGUAUGUAAAGCUCUAUCAGCAGGGAAGAAAAUGACGGUACCUGACUAAGAAGCCCCGGCUAACUACGUGCCAGCAGCCGCGGUAAUACGUAGGGGGCAAGCGUUAUCCGGAUUUACUGGGUGUAAAGGGAGCGUAGACGGAGGAGCAAGUCUGAUGUGAAAAUCCG
rnacentral:rRNA from 1 species